rnacentral:rRNA from 1 species
CAAGAGAACCGGAACACAGGUGCUGCAUGGCUGUCGUCAGCUCGUGUCGUGAGAUGUUCGGGUUAAGUCCCCGCAACGAGCCGUCAACCCUUGUCAUUAGUUGCCAUCAUUUGGUUGGGCACUCUAAUGAGACUGCCGGUGACAACCGGAGGAAGUGGGGAUGACGUCAAGUCCUCAUGGCCCUUAUGGGUAGGGCUUCACACGUCAUACAAUGGUCGGUACAGAGGGUUGCCAACCCGGCGAGGGGGAGCUAAUCCCACAAAGCCGAUCGUAGUCCGGAUCGCAGUCUGCAACUCGACUGCGUGAAGUCGGAAUCGCUAGUAAUCGUGGAUCAGCAUGUCACGGUGAAUACCGGUUCCCGGGUCUU